rnacentral:misc_RNA from 1 species
UUUCCGUAGGUGAACCUGCGGAAGGAUCAUUACUAACGUAUCCACGUACAAACCAAAACCAGUCGAAUUUUGUUCGAAAACAUAUUCGUCCGUUAGGCUGGGAAUAAGUUGAUUUCGAGACGGUUCUAUCUUUAUGAGAUGAAAUGUACAUCCCUGGCUUACUUCGGGCCUUCACGGGCUUACCCUACCUAGUUCGCGAAUUAAAAUAUAUCAAAAACAUUAAACUCAUAUGUUAACCCAUUUCAGCCUAUUCUUUUAAAUAAACUUAACCUGAAUUCAUUAGGAAUAAUGAGUUUGAAAAAAUACGAAAUUAAGUACAACUCUUAACAACGGAUAUCUUGGCUCUC